GACGAACGCUGGCGGCGUGCUUAACACAUGCAAGUCGAACGGACAGGCCCUGCUUUUGUGGGGUGCUCGAGUGGCGAACGGGUGAGUAUCACGUGAGUAUCCUGCCCUUGACUUUGGGAUAACUUCAGGAAACUGGGGCUAAUACCCGAUAGGAUCUCCUGCUGCAUGGUGGGGGUUGGAAAGUUUCGGCGGUUGGGGAUGGACUCGCGGCUUAUCAGCUUGUUGGUGGGGUAGUGGCUUACGAAGGCUUUGACGGGUAGCCGGCCUGAGAGGGUGACCGGCCACAUUGGGACUGAGAGACGGCCCAGACUCCUACGGGAGGCAGCAGGGGGGAAUAUUGCACAAUGGGCGGAAGCCUGAUGCAGCAACGCCGCGUGCGGGAUGACGGCCUUCGGGUUGUAAACCGCUUUCGCAUGUGACGAAGCGUGAGUGACGGUAAUGGGUAAAGAAGCACCGGCUAACUACGUG
rnacentral:rRNA from 1 species